rnacentral:rRNA from 1 species
GGCGGCACAGAGGGAAGCCAGGUGGCGACACCGCGCGGAACCCGAAAGCCGUUCUCAGUUCGGAUCGGAGUCUGCAACCCGACUCCGUGAAGCUGGAUUCGCUAGUAAUCGCGCAUCAGCCAUGGCGCGGUGAAUACGUUCCCGGGCCUUGUACACACCGCCCGUCAAGCCAUGGAAGCCGGGGGGUGCCUGAAGUGUGCAACCGCAAGGAGCGCCCUAAGGUAAAACCGGUGACUGGGGCUAAGUCGUAACAAGGUACC